UUUACAUGAUGAACACCACUUUAUGGCCCGUGUUUAUGAGAUAAUUUGAUUAUGAAGUGCAAAUCUGAAAAA